GAUGAAGAACGUAGUGAAAUGCGAUAAGUAAUGUGAAUUGCAGAGUUCAGUGAAUCAUCGAAUCUUUGAACGCACAUUGCGCCCCGUGGUAUUCCGCGGGGCAUGCCUGUUCGAGCGUCAUUUCACCACUCAAGCCUCGCUUGGUAUUGGGCGACGCGGUCCGCCGCGCGCCUCAAAUCGACCGGCUGGGUCGAUCGCACCCUCAGCGUUGUGGAAACUAUUCGCUAAAGGAGUUGUGGUCGGUCACGCCGUGAAACAAACCAAUCUUUCAAUGGUUGACCUCGGAUCAGGUAGGGAUACCCGCUGAACUUAAGCAUAUCAAUAAGCGGAGGA
rnacentral:misc_RNA from 1 species